rnacentral:rRNA from 1 species
GGCAACCGAUAGGUAGGGGGUCUGAGAGAUUAUCCCCACACACUGGUACUGAGACACGGACCACGACUCCUACGGGAGGCAGGUGAGGAAUAUUAGGUCAAUGGAGGCAACUCUGAACCAGCCACUGCCGCGUGCAGGAUGCUGCCCUAUGGGUUAGUAAACUGCUUUUAUACAGGAAGAAACUUACUCUACGUGUAGAUCUGACGGUACUGUAAGAAAUAAGGACCGGCUAACUCCGUGCCAGCACGCCGCGGUAAUAGGAGGGUCCAAGCGUUAUACCGGAAUCAUUGGGUUUAAAGGGUCCGCAGCGCGGUCAAAGUCAGAGGUGAAA